rnacentral:lncRNA from 1 species
UAUAAUAAACUAUGAAGGCCUUUCCUUACUUCAUAAAUUGCCACAACAUAUCUCAAAUCAAGAACUGCCCUUUUGAAAACAGAGUGCUAUCUGCUGAACCUAUCUGUUAAGAUGGAAUGCACCAUUCUAUCAGCAAGACCCAUUCACCAGAAAGGGUAAAACCACAGAUCCAACAGUGUUGUAAACAAGCACUGUAUUAGUAAGUGGUGUCAUGCCAAGGUUGAAGCCUUCNGCCUAGAAAAAAAAAAAGGUCACUUUACUGAGCUUUGAAGUCAGUAUUG